UUUCCGUAGGUGAACCUGCGGAAGGAUCAUUAAAUGAAAAGCUGGUUUACCAGUAUACGGCCCCUGGGUUUGUUUCUGACAAGCGCCAGGAUCAGUCGUCAUUUAUACCCAUGUUUUUUGCGUACUACUUGUUUCCUUGGUAGGCUUGCCUACCAUUAGGACCACACAAAACCUUUUGUAAUUGCAGUCAGCGUCAGAAAUAACUUAAUAGUUACAACUUUCAACAACGGAUCUCUUGGUUCUG
rnacentral:misc_RNA from 1 species